rnacentral:lncRNA from 1 species
CUAGUAGUUGUUUAGUCAUGUAUACUCGUAAUUCGUCUAUAUGUUUUAAAAAGCUAUUAAUAUUAAAAUUAGCAAUUUUGAAGCCACGCUCAUUAGGAAGUAGAUUAUCCAACAAACCAAAAUCAUAUUCGGAGUUUGGCUGUAUAUGAGGAGAAUUUAACGUUGUAUCUGAGUUUGGGGUAGGGUUCUCAAUCAGUCAAUUUGUCUCAGAGGUCCUAAUACAGUGUUUAAAGUUUUGGGCAAGUACAGCAGUACCUCUCCUAUUUAGGUGCAACCCUCCUUGAUUUAAGUGAGUCUUAUUAAUAUUCGAGCGUUUAACAAAUUCCCAUGAUUGUAAAUAACAUGUCGAUUCGACUAAUGAAUUUACUUGUUGUACCUUCUGAUCAUUGUCUUCACGGUCGGAUCUCGUUAUAAUUUCUGAUAUACUGAGCUUGAGACCAGGGACUUGCUCAGCUGCGGCUUUCCCCAAUUCUGAAAUAUUUUGAGCAAUCUCUUCAGGCGAUUUCCCAGAGAGGUCGUUAGUUCCCUCAUGAAGAAUACGAUGGCUAGGCUUAGCUUUUAAUGUAGGUUGUAGGUAGUACUUCAUAUCUUCUGUUUUAGCAUGGCCAGAAAUCACGGACAUUUUCAUUUCUCAGGUUUCACGUUACCACGAGCACCCACGCAACAAUGGCUGCGCAAUGCCCUAUGUUUAUUAUCAGGCGAGCAGAGUAUUUUCAAUAUAGCAUGC